AACGAACGCUGGCGGCAGGCUUAACACAUGCAAGUCGAACGCAUCCUUCGGGGUGAGUGGCAGACGGGUGAGUAACGCGUGGGAACGUGCCCUUCAGUUCGGGAUAACCCAGGGAAACUUGGGCUAAUACCGGAUACGUGCGAGAGCAGAAAGAUUUAUCGCUGAAGGAUCGGCCCGCGUCUGAUUAGCUAGUUGGUGGGGUAAUGGCCCACCAAGGCGACGAUCAGUAGCUGGUCUGAGAGGAUGAUCAGCCACAUUGGGACUGAGACCCGGCCCAAACUCCUACGGGAGGCAGCAGUGGGGAAUAUUGGACAAUGGGCGCAAGCCUGAUCCAGCCAUGCCGCGUGAGUGAUGAAGGCCUUAGGGUUGUAAAGCGCUUUCGUCCGGGACGAUAAUGACGGUACCGGAAGAAGAAGCCCCGGCUAACUUCGUGCCAGCCGCCGCAGUAA
rnacentral:rRNA from 1 species